CCUACGGGAGGCAGCAGUGGGGAAUAUUGCACAAUGGGGGAAACCCUGAUGCAGCGACGCCGCGUGAGUGAAGAAGUAUUUCGGUAUGUAAAGCUCUAUCAGCAGGGAAGAACAUGCCGGUACCUGACUAAGAAGCCCCUGAUAACUACGAGCCAGCAGCCGCGGGAAUACGUAGGGGGCGAGCGUUAUCCGGAUUUACUGGGUGGAACGGGAGCGGAGUCGGUGGUGCAAGUCAGAAGUGAAAGCCGGGGGCUCAACUCCGGGACUGCUUUUGAAACUGUGUGACUGGAGUGCAGGAGAGGUAAGCGGAAUUCCUGGUGUAGCGGUGAAAUGCGUAGAUAUCAGGAAGAACACCAGUGGCGAAGGCGGCUUACUGGACUGUAACUGACGUUGAGGCUCGAAAGCGUGGGUAGCAAACAGGAUUAGAUACCCCUGUAGUC
rnacentral:rRNA from 1 species